rnacentral:rRNA from 1 species
AUUGAACGCUGGCGGCAGGCCUAACACAUGCAAGUCGAACGAGUGGCGGACGGGUGAGUAAUGUCUGGGAAACUGCCCGAUGGAGGGGGAUAACUUCUGGACACGGUAGCUAAUACCGCAUUCCCUCGGAUGUGCCCAGAGGGGAUUAGCUAGUAGGUGGGGUAACGGCUCACCUAGGAGACGAUCCCUAGCUGGUCUGAGAGGAUGACCGGCCAAACUGGAACUGAGACACGGUCCAACCGCCUACGGGAGGCAGAAGUGGGGAAUAUUGCACAAGGGGCGCAAGCCUGAGGCAGCCAUGCCGCGUGUAUGAGAAAGGCUUUGGGGUUGUAAAGUACUUUCAGCGAGGAGGCGUUACUCGCAGAGGAGGCACGGGCUAACUCCGUGCCAGCGCCGCGGUAAUUC